ensembl:snRNA U6 U6 spliceosomal RNA
GUGCUCACUUUGGCAGCACAUAUACUAAAAUUGGACCGAUGCAGAGAAGAUUAGCAUGGCCUCUGCGCAAGGAUGACAGGCAAAUUCGUGAAGCAUUCCAUAUAUUU